rnacentral:rRNA from 1 species
GACGAACGCUGGCGGCGUGCUUAACACAUGCAAGUCGAACGGAAAGGCCCUGCUUUUGUGGGGUGCUCGAGUGGCGAACGGGUGAGUAACACGUGAGUAACCUGCCCUUGACUUUGGGAUAACUUCAGGAAACUGGGGCUAAUACCGGAUAGGAGCUCCUGCUGCAUGGUGGGGGUUGGAAAGUUUCGGCGGUUGGGGAUGGACUCGCGGCUUAUCAGCUUGUUGGUGGGGUAGUGGCUUACCAAGGCUUUGACGGGUAGCCGGCCUGAGAGGGUGACCGGCCACAUUGGGACUGAGAGACGGCCCAGACGCCAACGGGAGGCAGCAGUGGGGAAUAUUGCACAAUGGGCGGAAGCCUGAUGCAGCAACGCCGCGUGCGGGAUAACGGCCUUCGGGUUGUAAACCGCUUUCGCCUGUGACGAAGCGUGAGUGACGGUAAUGGGUAAAGAAGCACCGGCUAACUACGUG